CGGGCCUACGGGACGCAGCAGUGAGGAAUAUUGGUCAAUGGGCGCGAGCCUGAACCAGCCAAGUCGCGUGAGGGAAGACGGUCCUAUGGAUUGUAAACCUCUUUUGUCGGGGAGCAAAAGACGCCACGCGUGGCGUUCCGAGAGUACCCGAAGAAAAAGCAUCGGCUAACUCCGUGCCAGCAGCCGCGGUAAUACGGAGGAUGCGCGCGUUAUCCGGAUUUAUUGGGUUUAAAGGGAGCGUAGGCGGAUUAUUAAUUCAGUUGUGAAAGUUUGCGGCUCCACCGUAAAAUUGCAGUUGAUACUGG
rnacentral:rRNA from 1 species